CAAAGAGCCUCUGCUUCUCGGAUCUUGCCAUCUUCCUUUCUAGAGAGCCUGCUUCAAAUGUCGCUCCAGUCCCCAAACUGAGGAGGGUGAAAGGUUGGAAAGAUGCCUAUGAGAAAAGUCUGGUCCACGUGUCCUGCUGCGUCAUUUGGCCACCCACCUUCACUUCUUUUUUCCCAGCUUAUAGCUGCCACACUUCCGUGCAGAAACAGGCCACGUUGGGUUCUUUCUGUGAUAGAUUCUUUUGCUGUUGCCCUAGUAACAGAAUUAUUAAACCGAGUUCCAGCCUCGAGAGUAUUUGUGCCUGGUGAGACUGUCUUUGUAAUGGGAGAAGAUGCUCUAAGAACCCAGGAGCUAUGGUGAAAUCCUAAAGGCCAAUGUGAUGGUCUUGGAGGUACUUACACUUUCAAUAACCUGCAUAUGGAUUUCAACGCUAUUUAAUUAAGCCUUAAACCUAUAAAAAUGCACAUUUAAUACUCAAGUAAGCCCCUGACGUGUUCCCUCUGAAGAUAAACAGUAGCUGUUUGAGUGCUGUCAGAAGUUAGAGCCGAGCCCAGAAGAAUUCCAAAGAUGCUGCUUAGCUAAGGCCGCCAGAGGAAGCUGCUCAGACACCUGUGAUUCUGAGCACAGCAAGACCCGCAGAGGAGGUUCCCCACCCGGACAGUCCAAGUAUGUGUCUGAUGAGGCCAGGACACAGCCACGUGGAUAUAGACCUUCAGCACAGCCACGCAAAGCACACACACUGCAGGCUAUCUCUCUGCACACAGCCCUGGAUGGUAUGAGACCAUUGCCUCCUUCCUAAGCGGUGCUUAGGAAAGCAUUGACAACUUUCUUGGGGUACUAAGUGAAGGCUACAUCUGAAGCUGCCUCUUGGUUCUCUCCCUAGCAGACCUGUAACUCCUAAAGCCUGUCACUCGUUUUGACUAUGAGAGUCUGUGUGAGUACGUAAUCUCUGAUGAAUAAAAUCCACUAACAAUUCAAC
rnacentral:lncRNA from 1 species